CAGAGCUUUGCCUGACUGCUGCCUGUAUGCAAUCAGCCUGUCAGUCAUUUAUGGGAGAAAGUGAUUGAGCUCUGUCCUGGAUGCAUAUAUUUGCAGCAUUUGGACUCUGCAUAGGCCCUCCUGUUUGAAAACCUAUAUGAAAUCAAAUGGAUGCCAGCUAAAUAGCACCCUCUCCAUCCCAAAUCUAGGGUGCAGCAAUUCCACAACAGAGGCAUUAACGGGUGGUGCAAGAUGAGAAACAACAAAACCCAGCAACAGAGGGAGGGGCUGAGCGCGGUAACCAUCUUUCAAGACACUGCUAGGAGGUGACACUCAGACAUCAUCAUCGACUGGGAUCAAGUGCAAGGUUCAAAGCAAGUUCUUUUACUUCAGCAAACAAAAUGAUGCUCCCAGUGGGUGGAUGCCAUGGAGGAAGGCCAGGAGACAGCAUGCUGGAGACAAGAUGACACAUAAGAGCUGAAAUGAGGGACUGAGAUGUGGAAAGAGACCAGUCAGGGCAGUGCUGGGGGCAGGAAAGAAAGGGGAGAACCGGGAUCAGAAGACGCAUGAUCCAGAAAAGACCUUGAAGUGUAGGGAUUAAUUUGAACCUGUGAACUUGAUCAGA
rnacentral:lncRNA from 1 species